GAGUGGCUGGUACUGGUUGUUUCUUUCUAUGUUUAGUGCUUCUUUCAGGAUCUCUUGUAAGGCAGACCUGGUGUUGACGAAAUCUCUUAGCAACUGCUUCUUUACAAAGAAUAUUGUUUCUCC